rnacentral:rRNA from 1 species
UCCAGACUCCUACGGGAGGCAGCAGUGGGGAAUAUUGCACAAUGGGGGAAACCCUGAUGCAGCAACGCCGCGUGAGUGAAGAAGUAUUUCGGUAUGUAAAGCUCUAUCAGCAGGGAAGAAGAUGACGGUACCUGAAUAAGAAGCCCCGGCUAACUACGUGCCAGCAGCCGCGGUAAUACGUAGGGGGCAAGCGUUAUCCGGAUUUACUGGGUGUAAAGGGAGCGCAGACGGCAGUGCAAGUCUGGAGUGAAAGCCCGGGGGCCAACCCCGGAACUGCUCUGGAAACUGUGCGGCUAGAGUGCGGGAGGGGCAGGCGGAAUUCCUAGUGUAGCGGUGAAAUGCGUAGAUAUUAGGAGGAACACCAGUGGCGAAGGCGGCCUGCUGGACAGUAACUGACGUUGAGGCUCGAAAGCGUGGGGAGCAAACAGGAUUAGAUACCCUAGUAAU